UAUAUGCAAUAGUAAUGUAAUUCAGAUUCUUAAUUCUGCUUUUUUCAGCGAGGUUUUCAGACAGUUACGCCUCGCUACAGAAGACACCAGCUGCUAUAUUAGCCACACAGGGUCGACAAGGCUCUUCAGGGCCACCCGGUAAUGAUGGCUCCCCAGGACCCCCCGGAGAGCCAGGACCUCCAGGUCCCCAAGGGUAUCGAGGGCAGAAAGGGGAACGGGGUCAAUUGGGGUUGGGUCUUCCAGGACCUCCAGGCUCCACAGGUUCACCCGGAAUAGGAUUCCAGGGGCCCCAAGGUCCCCCGGGGUCCCAAGGUCCAGAGGGAAGAUGUAAACCCAGUGACUGCUUCCAUCCAUACGCCAGACGGGAUGGGUAGAAUCUGACACAUCCUCAUCAAACCUGGAAACCAGUGAACCAGCUCAUCUUCACAAGCAUUAAAUCCUAUUAAAACAAACGUCGGAUCCCUGCUGGAGGAGAAGACACACGCAAACUUCUUCCCCACAGAGCAGCCAUUACUGGUGAUGUCAUUUCAUUUCAUCAUUUGUCUCGGUUUCAUUUCCCAUAUUUGUGACCAAUGCAUUUACUCAUUUCCCAUGUUUUGUGAGUAUGACGUGAGAAUUCAACGCUCAUCAUUACACUAAUCACACCGGACAGGUUUAUCAGAGGCGGCACGGUCGAGGCGAAUGCAGGUGAAAUGAGAAUUUACAUUUGCUUAUUUUCUUCAUGAUGUUGUGAAGUCGAGUUUUAAUUAAAGUGCCCCAUUAUGGAUUUUUGAAAAUUAACUUUCAUGCCGUGUGUAACACAGCUCUAAGUGAAUGAAAACAUCCUGCAAAGUUUUAAAUCUGAAAGUGCACAGUGUAUAAAGUUAUUGUCUCUCAAAAUAAAGAGUCGACUCUGAAUCAUUGAAACGAGUCGUUUUUAACGGUCCCCUGAAAUGCUUAGAAACACGCAGCGUUACUCUGUGUUGACGUAAUUUUUAACUGAAACAGGAAGACAAGGCGGGACAUAUCAAGCAGCCCCACCCCUUUUUAAAAUAGCCAAUAGCGUUCGUUUAUAUCACAGCUUGGGCUAGAGCCGUUGAGCUCCGUAAAGCCGCAUUUGACAGGGUAUACGCCAGCCACAAUCUCAUCCAUAUUGCUAUAAAAUAUAGUAUUCUGUGUAGAAUUCAAAUAGCUCCGAUACAUUUUGUGGUCUGCGCCAAACAUUAGCAUAUUGCACGCAGACCCGGGAAAACUUGAAAAUUCAAAUAAAUUCUUUGACACUAGGUGCCGCUUUGGGAGCGGUAAAAAUAACGGUUUCCCCGAUAACGGCUGUACACAAAGCAGCACUGCUCUCACAAACGUUGCUUUAUCACGCAUUACAGGCAUAUGAAAUGGAAAUGAAAUCGACCAAUCGGACCAAUCUCCGCAGAUUAGCAUCACGCAAAGGAGGGGUUUGGAAAAAUGAAUCGUUGAGCGAAUGUUUGGGAGUCGUUGAGCAAGUAAGAUAAAAAUAAAUGCAUAUUAUAAGACAAUUAAAGUGGUUUUUGACCUUGCAUGCAUGUCAACCUGUUUUUGGGGACUCCCAGAACCAAAAUACGAAUCUUUCAUAACCCAUAAUAGGGGCACUUUAAAUUGUGUUGGCGCUAUGCAAUCUAAAAUAGAAAAUGAGUAUGUUAACAAAUAUUAAGUUAAUGUAAAUAACAGAAAAUGUCAUCGUUUUUCAAACAUUUAAUUUUGAAAAAUAUUUAAAGAAGUGUACUUUCCAGCCCUGUGGGAGGAACAUUGCUUGUGAAGGGAGU
ensembl:lncRNA